rnacentral:rRNA from 1 species
GCCUACGGGAGGCAGCAGUGAGGAAUAUUGGACAAUGGGAGCAAUCCUGAUCCAGCCAUGCCGCGUGCAGGAAGACUGCCCUAUGGGUUGUAAACUGCUUUUAUACAGGAAGAAAAAGCCGUACGUGUVCGBUGUUGACGGUACUGUAAGAAUAAGGAUCGGCUAACUCCGUGCCAGCAGCCGCGGUAAUACGGAGGAUCCAAGCGUUAUCCGGAAUCAUUGGGUUUAAAGGGUCCGUAGGCGGGACGAUAAGUCAGUGGUGAAAGUCUGCAGCUCAACUGUAGAAUUGCCAUUGAUACUGUUGUUCUUGAGUKMUUGUGAAGUGGUUAGAAUGAGUAGUGUAGCGGUGAAAUGCAUAGAUAUUACUCAGAAUACCGAUUGCGAAGGCAGAUCACUAACAAUGCACUGACGCUGAUGGACGAAAGCGUAGGUAGCGAACAGGAUUAGAUACCCUGGUAGUCUAUCGCCGUMAAUCGAUGGUUACUAGCUGUUCGGGUCAAUUGAGMYCUGAGUGGCUAAGCGAAAGUGAU